rnacentral:lncRNA from 1 species
UUCUUCUUCUUCUUUUUUCUUUUUGAUCAAUGAGUUGAAGGUUGAUAAGUUAGCAUUGAUUAGGGAGACUUAACCUUCCUUGAUUCAAAACUAAUUCAUCUUGAUCAAUUGAUCAAGUGAAUGGCUUUGCAUUAAGGAUAGGUUGUUUCCUAAAUCAUGCAAAAGACUUAAACCAAUACAAGAUCAAUUCUCUUCUUCUUUUUGGCAUGGCAAGUUGUUGGAACUUGGUUCACUAAUCAAGACUUCUAACUUG